rnacentral:rRNA from 1 species
AACUUUCAACAACGGAUCUCUUGGUUCUGGCAUCGAUGAAGAACGCAGCGAAAUGCGAUAAGU